rnacentral:rRNA from 1 species
UACAGAGGGUGCAAGCGUUGUUCGGAAUUAUUGGGCGUAAAGGGCGCGUAGGCGGUGCGGUAAGUCUCUAGUGAAAUCUCCGGGCUCAACUCGGAGCCUGCUAGGGAAACUGCCGUGCUUGAGUGUGGGAGAGGUGAGUGGAAUUCCCGGUGUAGCGGUGAAAUGCGUAGAUAUCAGGAGGAACACCUGUGGUGUAGACAGCUUACUGGACCACUUCUGACGCUGAGACACGAAAGCGUGGGUAGCAAACAGG